AUGUAGCGCAAUGGAUAGCGUGUUGGACUCUUAAUCCAAAGGUCGGGGGUUCGAAUUCCCCCGGAGAUG